AACGAACUCUGGCGGCAUGCCUAACACAUGCAAGUCGAACGAAACCUUCCGGUUUAGUGGCGCACGUCUGCGUACCACGUGGGAACCUGCACUUAGGUUCCGAAUCACUCCCCGUAAGGGGUCUUAAUAACGCAUAAUCUAUUACGACAAAAGAUCUCUUGCUAUUGGAUGGGCCCGCGUUGGUUUGGCCAGUUGGUAGGGUACUAGCCUACCAUGGCCUCGUUCCAUAGCUGGUCGGAGACGAGGAUCAGCCACGCUGGGACUGCGACACGGCCCAGCCUCGGACGGAGGGGAGGAGUAGAGAAUAUUGGGGGAUGGGCGAAAGUCUGGUAAAGCCAUGCCGCGUAAGUGAUGAAGCGCUUAGUGUUGUAAAGCUCUUUUACCCGGGAUGAGAAUGACAGUACCGGGUGAAGAAGCACCGGCUAACUACGUG
rnacentral:rRNA from 1 species